AUAAUAACCUGGCAGGGGAGAUACCAUGACCACAAAGGUGAUUUUCACAGGGUGAGGCACUCUGAUGUGCUGACCCCUGUGAUUUCCCCAAAUGCAGGAAACUCGACUGUAUAAUUUGUGGUAGUGGGGGAGCUGUGUUCGCAUGCUCCCUGG
ensembl:snRNA LOC120098052 U1 spliceosomal RNA